rnacentral:rRNA from 1 species
UACGUAGGGUGCAAGCGUUGUCCGGAAUUAUUGGGCGUAAAGAGCUCGUAGGCGGUUUGUCGCGUCUGCUGUGAAAACUCGGGGCUUAACCCCGGGCCUGCAGUGGGUACGGGCAGACUAGAGUGCGGUAGGGGGAGACUGGAAUUCCUGGUGUAGCGGUGAAAUGCGCAGAUAUCAGGAGGAACACCGGUGGUGUAAACGGCUUCUGGACCAUAACUGACGCUGAGGCACGAAAGCGUGGGUAGCAAACAGG